rnacentral:lncRNA from 1 species
GUAAGUGAGACUGUCAAUAUGCAUAAUGUACUUUGUAAUAUUCAUGUUAUACCAGUGCAGUGGUAUAUUUUUAUGUAACCAACUACCGCACCGAUGUUAGCAUAGUGCUAAUUAGCAGCCUUUUGCACGUGAGCUAGCUAAUUGCUCACAAUGAGCGAAUCUUAUUUGGACAAAUUUGCCUACUUGAGCAGUAAGCCUAGGUUUACAUGUACAGUUAUGUAAUCGAUUUGAUCAUUGUUUUUUUUUGUGUUUCUUCAAUGUAUGCCUUGUGUUUGGCUGGCUCUAAAUGUGUAUCGUUGAUGCCGACCGCCAUUACCUAAGUUACACAUAUGUUAUUGGAGGGCGAGUCCCAAAAUAAAAAAUGCAGCAGCAGUCAACUUCAUCACUGCCCCUUCUGCACAUAUAAGGCUGAACAAUAUAUGGCCAACAACCGCAUCAAAGGUCAUGCUUCAGUGUGGCACAAAGAGUUCACAAUCAUAAAGUGUGGCUUCAGUUGUAGAAAUGCGACACGCUGUGUUUGCUUCAAACAGCCAUGUCACUGCUACUUGGUUUCCACCAGCAUCAUUGAACCCCAUGGAUCACCUGCCGGAGAAUGCAGCAAGUCUGCAGUGGAUUCUUAUUUCAGUAUGAGAACCUGGACAUUGGACAAUAUGUGUCUGAAGAAGGGAGGUUGAAAGAUCGAAAAGGGCAGCGAAAACAAAACACACUACAGGAUUUCAAGACACCCCCCCCCCCCCCCAAGAAGUCCCAGCAUGUCUCAUCAGCAUCCAGCUCUGCAGGAUCAGACGAUACUGAAAACAAAAUGCACGGCGAACUGGGAGCUGUGAACUGGGUUUGUAGUCAACUGUGUGUAAGGCUGAAGGCAUGAUGCAUGACAAGAUAUAAUAGUUGUGAUAACUUGUUGAGUAGUUAUAGAUAAAACCCCUUUAGUAAUAGGGGCUUUUGUUUGUAUGGUGGUAUUGUGAAAGUGGGGUGUAAUUUGACUUGAUCACCCAAUGAGACUCUACUCAUAUUUAUUCUUCCUUUUUCUUCAAGGAAGCAGAUGUUCUUCAAAGAGACACCCUAGAGGCAGCAAGGAGGUGCGAACGACAAAGCAUUUAAAGGCAUUGAUUCCCUCCCUAGUGUAAUUAGGAUGGACGGGAAGACCACAUUACAACCCUUAAAGAACAACGGUUGUAUUAUGGCCUGGAUGAAGAGGAAAAUAUUAUCCUCAAGGAACCAUUCAUGUUCCAGUUACAGAGAGAUGUUCUAUGUGGAGGCAGUUGACAAGAAAAUGACUGUCUGCCUCUUCUGAGGAGCAGGAGUGAAGGCAUUUUUGAGGAGUGGUCAAAACUUGUUUUUGUCUGCUGUGUUAAUUGUUUCAAUUGUUAAUUGUGUUAUGUUGUUUAGUAAAGAUGACGUAGAACUCACCCGAGUCUAUGAUCUCUGAUCUCUGAUGAUUUACUGGAGCUGGUAUAACUUCAUGUACAAAGCAC